GAUAGUAUUAACAAAAUAAAGUUCCCUAGCAUAGAUAGUUUCUAUUUUGCUGUGAAGAUAGAGGGAAGGCCAAAAACUUCUUGUUUCAUUCCUUCCUUCACCAGCUUGUCAGCAAGGCCUAUUCUGCUCCCUGAAGAUGUACACCAGCCUUGGUGUACCCAAUUUUUUCUGCAUCAAUUGUCUGCACUCAACUGCAAGUUAGUGUAUUGCAAAUGGUCAUUUUCAAUCAUGUGGAUGACAUCAAAUAAUCAAUGUUGAUUACUAAGGGAUUAGGUUAUGAUCCACUCCUAGUUGCAACUCUCUAUUUCAUGUUUGGAGCUUUGCCAUCGUAGGGUUUGUAUUAGGAGUGCAUUCAAUGAAGUCUAGCACCCAAUGAACCGUGUUGUCCCGGGAAACCCCCACCAAGUCCUCCUAAUCACGGGUUGUUCUUUACCGCCCAAUCAAUGUUGAACUUGAAGAAUCUCUAUCGGGGGGCUCCCACCUGACCUGAAUGAUAGUUUGAUGUCGUUUAAGCAUCUCUUUUUGGACAACCAUUAGAUGGUAUACCAUGGUUUGGCUGAUGGUAUUACCACAUUUAAUGUGGUAUUCUUCUUGUUGAAGAGAUUGUUGUUCCUUGUAAACUAGAUACUCCUCGAUCAGAAAGGAAUUAGAGUGCCCCGGUCAAUUCUACUAUUGAAAGGCUUAUUCCAAAUGUAAUUCGGAAGAGGAAUCUAGUUGUUGGUGCUCACAUUCAAGGCCUGGAUAUUGUUGGUGUUAUUUAAAAUAUUCUCCCAAAAUUGAAUUGAAUUAGGGCACUCAAAGAAAAUACAAUUGUUAUCUUCUUUCGGAGAGUUGCAGAAGUGGCUACUAUGGUUAACGUUAAGACCUUUCUGAUGGAGGGAGUGGCUAGUGGGGAGUCCACCAUGGUAGAAAAGUCAAAAAAAGUUUUGGCUUUAUUGUGAGCCUUGGUAGAGCAAAUCUAGUCAAAUUGCUUCCAUUGAUUUUGAUUAUUACCUAGUCUAUGAAAUGAGAUGUGAUUGUAGGCACUACCAGUUGAGAAGAGAUGAUCGCUGGCAAGUUCCAGAUCAGAGUGUCAUGUUGUGAGGUGUUCUAAGGAAUGUGGUAGCAUUUGAUGGUGGCUUUGAGAUAUCAUCAAGUUAAAAGAAAGGAUGUCAAAAGUUCUCGAUCCCAUUUACAAAGAUGCUGCUAAUUUUGAGCUUUUCAUCCUCGACCAUAGACGAUUUGACUAAGGACUUGGAGAUGUGGAAUCUAAGUAUAAUAAGCCAACCUUCUCACUCUUAUGAACAACCAAUGGUGCUUUUUUUGCAUUCGCAGCAUCCUUUUUGUGUGUUUUUCCAAGUUCUAGAGACUACUCUAAUGUUAUUAAUGAGUUUGACAUGCUUGUGGUUUUCGCUAGCCAAAACUCUGCUCUAAAGGUUGUUAGCCCCCAAGCCCCGUUGUUCCUAGUGAUUGUGUCCCAGCCAAAAAGGUGAAUACUGGUUCCCCAUCUGAAAUCCCUUUGGAUUUUGUUGAUGGAGUAAGUGGUUCUAAAGGGGGUACUAAUGUACUGCAUAACAUGAGAGAGGAUGUUGUUGAGGGUUGCUUUGGCUAGGACGGUUCUGCACGUUAAGUUGAGGAACUUGAUUUUUAUCAUGCUGACUUCUUGUUCAUGUUAUCAGUAAUAAUUAGGAAAUCCCCAUUGGUAGACCUUUUGUGAAAGAUUGGGAAACCAAGGUAUUUCCCAAAAAAUCGUUAGGGCCAACGUUAAGGAGGCUAGAGCACAUUGCAAAGUUUUCAAUGGAGCAAUUCUUUAUAAAGAUCACCUAAGAUUUUUCAAGAUUAAUUUUUUGGCCAGAGAAGAUGUUGAAGCUAUUCAAUGUAUCAAUGAUGGUAAUGCAGUUCCUCAUGUCAGCUUAGAAAAAUAAAGUAAAAUCAUCUACGAAAAACAGAUGUGAGAUCUUGGGCCCUGUAGUGGUGGUUUGAUGGGAGUCUAUUUCAUGACAUGGACCAUUUGGUCGAUAUCUCUAGAAAACCUCUCCAUCAGAGUAUUAAGACAUAGGGGAACAUGGGAUCGCCGUGUCGGAUGCCGCUGGAAGGGUUGAAGUAUUCAGUUUUCCCCCAUUGACAAGGAUGGAAAUGGAGCUGGAGGUCACACAGCACAUAAUGAAGGAGGAAAUAUUAGUGGGAAAAAUAAUGAAAUGGAGAGUAUCUCUAAUAAAAGACCGCUUUAACCUAUCAAAGGCUUUUUCCAAACCAAAUUUAAAAUCAUCUUGGGGUUCUUCCCUUUCAUCUUUUUGAAGUGAGGGAUAUACUCCUAGACAAUGAUAGCAUGAUCGAAAGCUCUUCUAGAGGAAAGGAAGUUGGCUUGACUGGGGCCAAUGAUAUUUUGAACUUUGAAGGUGCGGUUUCUUGUGAUUCAUAAUGAUUUUUUUCACUAAUUUAUAACUCAAAUUACAAUGACCAAUGGGCCUGAAAUUUUUAAGCAUGGAUGCAUUUUGGCACUUGGUGAUGAGUCAAAAAAGGGUGUUGUUCAUGUCAGGAGAAAUGAACGGUUAUCUAAUACCUUUUUACAGGAAUAUAAUUAGUAGUUUUCUCCCCCGCUAGAUCUCAAUAUUUCAGAGGCUUAAAAGAUUUUGAGCAAUGAGAAUUUCCAGGUCUCUGAUGAGAGAGUCCAGAAGGUCCUUGGCUUCGUAGUGGAUGCAAUUUACACGAGUCUGGUCCUCUAGGGGGCAAUUUUCAGAUUGGGAAUGGGCAGUGGUAUAGAUCUUGGUGAAGCAGUUGAUGAUGUUGACUUUAAUGUCCUUGUUAUAUAAGUACUUAUUUCCCACAUCAUCUUGAUACAGAAUUUGUCCUUGCGUCUUCAGUUGAGGGUGGAGGUAUGAUAGAAUCUAGUGUUUGCAUCUUCGUCACUUAACUAGUUGAUCCUAGGUUUGAUUUUCCAGAAUUCUUCCUCAGUUCUAGGAGGUUGUCAUAGUCAAGGAGGAGUUCAUUCUCGAGGUCUUGAAGGAGGUAGUGCUAUGGUAGUUAGCAGAAUUUUGGAUGCCUUCAAGCUUGCUAGAAUUUUUUUCACACUAUUGAAGAUGUUGCCAAAAGUUGAUUUGUUCCAACUGGUAGUUUCCUUCCAGAAAAUAUCAAUAUAUUGCCUAGGGUGUUGCUUAUGUCAAAACAUGCUUAACAAUACCUUGAAAGGAUGGGCGCCCACUGCCCACACCACAUGGGUUCUAUUCUAAAAUGCUUGUUGGUAGCAUUAACAACCUGAUUUUGGAGGCUCACAAGCAACAGACAGUGUGGUCUGAUAGCGGCAAUUACACAUUAGUCGUAAAAAAUUCCUUUUAAUUAAAAGUAUUUUUGCUGUUUUACUUAAUUGUUAAAAAACAAAUUGACUUUCUCCUGGGUUGUGAAUUGUGAGAACCACGUAUCAUCCGCUUCCCCUUUUUCUUCCACCACCAUCCGAGCCACCGUGGCCACCGACAGAGGAGCCACCAUAGACACCGCCAACGAAGCCACUGUAGAUAUCGCCAUUGGAGCCACCAUCUAAGAGGUAGAGAAGUGUUGAUUUCUAGUUUUGAUAGAUCUGUGGCAUGAUAAUGGUGAAAGUUUUUCAAGUUUCCGCAUACAAAUCUACUGAUCUAAGGUGAUGCAUCGAGAUUCCCUUUCAGAUAACUUGGUUUUUGAGAGUAAAUCAAAGAAAGGAAGCAAUGCACUUCUUGCUCGAGCGUAGUCUCCUGGUUGGAGCAAUGCUGAUAAGGCACUCACUAGUCACUACUUUCUAUAAUGAACCAUUGAUUGGGUUUCUGUUACCGCGUUUACAUUUUGGUGAAGUCAGUAUUUGCGAGACAUCUGCAGCUCAAAGCAAGUAUCAACAACACAUGUUUCGUUGAACCUCUAAACCUGAUUCACAGUUACAGGAAAUAUCUUCCCUUUUGGAGAUUUUUGGUUUACUAAGAAGGAACAUUUUUUUUGGGUUCUCAAGUGAAUGGUACAAUCCUGCUCGCGAGUGAUGUCGAUCAAUAGGGACUAGGAAGAAUGAAAUAUUAAAGAUGACACCAUUUGGAUAUAAGAGAGGAUGUUUUAUUGAUCAGAGUUGGAGUUACACUUCUAGGAGUUGGCUUAAAGAGUGGAAUUGAGGUACUUCGGUCUAUGUCUUCCUUAUGUUCCGGUUCAAUAUUUGCAGAUCAUUUCUAGCAGACCAACCGGUGAACGUAAGGUCUCUGAUCCAAAUAUACAAGAUUGGGUUUCAAUGGGAGGUUAUGGAAAGCACGGUAAUAGAGAAAACAGUAAGAAAACUCAUGUUAAGUGAAGAACGCAAAGAUGUGAAGAAAAAAGUAGCAGACAUGCAGCAUAGUAUAGUUUCUGGUGUGCAGAUUGAUGGUAUUUCACAUAAGAAUAUGAAAGAUUGUUAGACUUCAUUUCUGCCAUGCCAUCAUGGAUCCCUCCACCAACACAUGUUGCUGGGACAAUCUUGAGUUUAAACCAAUACCAAGCAAGUGUUGGAAGAAUUACAUAUUUUUGUUGCCUGCUACCUUGGCAAGACAACUCCUCAAUCACAAAAGGAAGAAUAAAAUCCUCCCGAUAUUACAUAUGAUUGUGAUCCAAGUUGUUAUACUUUUACUGUCUCAACUUCUCGUUUCUUCAUUCUUAAACACAUUCUUUUUAUUUGUUUUGAUAACUUGAACACAAUAUUAUAGGUAAUUCAUAUUUUUACCACUAGAAGACAAUAAAGUGGAUGGUAUUAAGUUUUUUAUUGUUCUUUUAAAAGAA